UUGUAAUCCCCGGCAAAUGGACUUGUACACUUCAAACAGAAGUCGGCACUGAUAUGAAACAAAACAGUUUGAUGUGAAACUGCCAUUCGAAAUGGAAAUUUGGCCAAUAAGUAAAUACAAAGCCCUUGAAAAUGUAGACCUAUUGAGAGAUGAGGGAUUUAUCGAAUGGCAUAAUUACAUUAAGUUAAAUUUACAGUCACCGUUUGAUGCCAAUAAACAUGGAUACUAAAACGAUUUAAGCUAUUCAGUGCAACCGAUCCAGAAUGAUUUCACCAUGAGAAUACUGGCCUGUUUUUAUUGUACAGAGGCUGUUGCCCUGCCGAGUUUCAUUCACUAGGAUUUUCAACACAUGGGAAAGAAAAUGGGCGAGUUCAGCUGUUGCAUGGACUAUGGUAAUUCUAGAAAACAACUCAUGGACAUGCCUGAUGAGCUGGAACAGCAGGUCAUUGUAUGUGUUCGACCACACAGGACUUUCCUCCAGCUAUGCCAGGCUCUCUGGUUGAAGGCUCUUACACAUAUUAUUAAAUGUGAAUUAUGUGUACAUGUACUUGGACUGUGACAUAUUACAAACACUGUAAAUUUCUCAAAUAUUCCUUUUUUUCAAUGAAAUUUGUACGAUUUUUUUUGGAAAUAGAAUGUUGCAGA